UGUAACCAUUGUAAGGACUCCAUGCUUGGACUGCAGAACCAACUGACAGCCCCCCACACCCACCCCACAAGAGCAACAAUAGAUACACAAUAAGGCCACUUUACCAGAAGAAGGAUGCCAGGUUUUCAUUAUGUAAUCAGUAGGAGCAGCAUGACACAGUAAUGGCAGCACAGACUGAGUCAGAAGACGUUCAUCCAAUUCCCAGCUCAACAUUCUUCAAGAUGCAUCAGCUCUGAAAUCCACACCUCCUUAACCUCCUUUCCCUCUGACUGAAAAAGAUGGGAGUACGAUGGUGGCCAUCUGAGAGCUCCUUCCAGAUCCCCAGGGCUUAGCACAAUGCCCAGCACAUAGCAGGUCUUUAAUAAAUGUUUAACAAC